UAGAAAAACAAACUGCACUGGGUGCUUCUCAACUUUGAGAAACUUUCAGAUGCGUGGACUUCAACUCCUAGAAUUCUCCA